CCGGUGGCUUCAGUCAGAUUGUGUCUCUUUCCUUUAAACAAACUCUCAUGUUGUUCAAGGUGAUUCUGACAGUAAGAGUUCAGACACACCAGACAGGACUUGACUGCUUUGUGUUUUCUUCCAGUACAGACGUCACACUGCACAUCUCCAGCUCCAGCGUAACAGUCAGCAGGAAGAUUAAUCUUCUUCAGUUUCUCCACCAUUUCAGCCAGAAUGGUGUUUUUAGCUAAAGCAGGUCUUGGACUGAAGGUCUGUCUGCACUGAGGACAGCUGUAGACUCUCAUCUGAUCCUCCUGAUCCCAGAAGCCUGUAAUACAGAUCUUACAGUAACUGUGUC